GACGAACGCUGGCGGCGUGCUUAACACAUGCAAGUCGAACGGAAAGGCCCUGCUUUUGUGGGGUGCUCGAGUGGCGAACGGGUGAGUAACACGUGAGUAACCUGCCCUUGACUUUGGGAUAACUUCAGGAAACUGGGGCUAAUACCGGAUAGGAGCUCCUGCUGCAUGGUGGGGGUUGGAAAGUUUCGGCGGUUGGGGAUGGACUCGCGGCUUAUCAGCUUGUUGGUGGGGUAGUGGCUUACCAAGGCUUUGACGGGUAGCCGGCCUGGGAGGGUGACCGGGCACAUUGGGACUGAGAUACGGCCCAGACUCCUACGGGAGACAGCAGUGGGGAAUCUUGCACAGUGGGCGGAAGCCUGAUGCAGCAACGCCGCGUGCGGGAUGACGGCCUUCGGGUUGUAAACCGCUUUCGCCUGUGACGAAGCGUGAGUGACGGUAAUGGGUAAAGAAGCACCGGCUAACUACGUG
rnacentral:rRNA from 1 species